GUGUUAUAUGAAAGGAGAGAAGGUUAGCACUUCCCUUGACAAGGACGGAAUGGCCUCUGGGCCUAAACACAAUGCAAAUCUUCUGUGUAUCCAAAUCCUUUGUGAAUCUUAUAUAUAUAUAUAU